rfam:Myotis brandtii contig185811, whole genome shotgun sequence.
GAGACACCACUCUGGGGCAAGACUUGCUUCAGUGGGGCUUUGGUGCUCACUGAGUCUGCCCCCUGAGUAUGUCUUU